UACGAAGGGGGGCUAGCGUUGUUCGGAAUUACUGGGCGUAAAGCGCGUGAGGUGGCGAGGCAAGUCGGGGUGUGAAAGCCCUGGGCUCAACCCAGGAAGUGCACUCGAUACUGCCUAGCUAGAGUCCCGGAGAGGUUGGUGGAACUCUCGGUGUAGAGGUGAAAUUCGUAGAUAUCGAGAAGAACACCGGUGGCGAAGGCGGCCGAACUGGACGGUGACUGACACUGAGACGCGAAAGCGUGGGGAGCAAACAGG
rnacentral:rRNA from 1 species